rnacentral:rRNA from 1 species
GCCCUUAGAGUUUGAUCCUGGCUCAGGACGAACGCUGGCGGCGUGCCUAAUACAUGCAAGUCGAGCGGACCGAACGAGAGCUUGCUCUUGUUCGGUCAGCGGCGGACGGGUGAGUAACACGUGGGCAACCUGCCCGCAAGACCGGGAUAACUCCGGGAAACCGGAGCUAAUACCGGAUAACACCAAAGACCGCAUGGUCUUUGGUUGAAAGGCGGCUUCGGCUGCCACUUGCGGAUGGGCCCGCGGCGCAUUAGCUAGUUGGUGAGGUAACGGCUCACCAAGGCGACGAUGCGUAGCCGGCCUGAGAGGGUGACCGGCCACACUGGGACUGAGACACGGCCCAGACUCCUACGGGAGGCAGCAGUAGGGAAUCUUCCGCAAUGGACGAAAGUCUGACGGAGCGACGCCGCGUGAGCGAAGAAGGCCUUCGGGUCGUAAAGCUCUGUUGUGAGGGACGAAGGAGCGCCGUUUGAAUAAGGCGGCGCGGUGACGGUACCUCACGAGAAAGCCCCGGCUAACUACGUGCCAGCAGCCGCGGUAAUACGUAGGGGGCGAGCGUUGUCCGGAAUUAUUGGGCGUAAAGCGCGCGCAGGCGGUCCUUUAAGCCUGAUGUGAAAGCCCACGGCUCAACCGUGGAGGGUCAUUGGAAACUGGGGGACUUGAGUGCAGGAGAGGAGAGCGGAAUUCCACGUGUAGCGGUGAAAUGCGUAGAGAUGUGGAGGAACACCAGUGGCGAAGCC